GGAUAUACCGGCGAUGGGGUUCGCCAUAAACCGCCUCAACGGCUGAUGACUCCUAUAAUCGC
rnacentral:ncRNA from 2 species